rnacentral:misc_RNA from 1 species
GCAGACCUAUUACCAAUGGAGCUGGUAUGCUAGACAUUCUAAAUUGGUUUGUGAAUGCGUGCUGAGAGUUGAUGCUACUUCUCUAAAUUUGUCAAAUUGUAUGGAAAAUGAUCCAUAUAAUUGGUCCUUACUAGAUUGAAAGUAUGGUUUAGUUGAAUGACAUAGAGACUUUGAGUGUGUUGAGUAAACUUCUAAUAGUUGGCUAGUUUGGCCUCUAACAAGUUUUCUAAAACCUCUUUGAGCUGCUUAGACGGUGCCCUGGCUGCUAGGAAAGAGUUGCCUUGUAUGUCACAAACAGUCAAACACUACAGAAUAUCCUGGGAUUCUUUGAGAUGUCUAGAAGACAGAAUUAACAAUUAUUACCUAAUUUUCAUUGAAAUUAUUUUGGUAUUCAAGCUUGUUUCCUGUUGCAUGAAUCAGUUCUGAAUAUUGUUAUUGGCUUGGAUUCUUUUGCUUGUACGGAUUGAUUGGUGGGGAUGUUUUUUGGUGCCCAAGUUUUAACUAUUUGUUGAUCAUAACAAAAUAAGGUUAUAAUGCUGAAUGUAACAUGGUUUACUUGGCA